rnacentral:rRNA from 1 species
UUACUAUAUUAGGUUAGUCAUCAACGGGUUGUUUAUAAAAAUUUUUUAAGAAGUGAUAAAUUAAUCGUUAGCUGUUAUAUCUGUUUUAAGAGUUUAAAUAUUGACUUACAGCCGAGGCAAUGGGGCCUCAGUUGUUUCUAUAAUUGUUGUUGCUAGAAUUUUAACUAGGGUUAGGGUUACCCAUGUUGACUAUAAAUGUUACAAUUUUAUUAUGGUUGUUUGGUUUAGUGUGUUUGCUCUUAUUAUUGUAAUUGACUGUGUGUAUUUAUGUAUUAAUAAGUAAUUAAAUUAGUUAUAUUUUUUCUCAUAUUCGGUCCGACUGUUUAUUAAAAACAUUUCCACCUGUGUUUAUUGGUGGUAAGACCUGCCCAGUGAUUCUCAACGGCCGCAGUAUAUUGACUGUGCGAAGGUAGCAUAAUUAAUUGCCCCGUAAUUGGGGGCUUGUUUGAAUGGUUUAACGUGAUUGGUAUUAAAAUUUUAACUUUUAUUGAAAUUAAUUUGACGAGUACAGAAUCUGUCAAAAUUAAUUAGACGGAAAGACCCCAGGAUCUUUCAUUUUUGUCUGGGGCAGAUAAUGUUAUUUUACCAUUUUUGUGACCCAUAGUCUAUAGGUUUAAGUUACCCUGGGGAUAACAGGGUUAUAGUUUAUUAGAGAUCUUAUCGAGUAAAUUGAUUGCUACCUCGAUGUUGACUUGGAUUAAAUUAAUGGCGCAGUCGCUUUUAGUUUUGGUCUGUUCG